CUCUGCUGAAGGGUAAGCUGGCCUCAGGUGUGAGCACAUUCAACAGAGGACCUGAAGGACUGGAGGCUAAAAUCGUCCUCAUUAACACGCUGUACAACAUGCGUGUGGAGGACGUGUGCGAUGUCGACUGGGACGAGGUCGCUCAUACUGUCGGGAAGGUGACUCCUGUCUGUGUUCAGAAGAGUUUCCACAGACUGAAGGUUUCCAGAGUUCCUCACUGGAGCGGCCUGUUCUACGGAGGUACUGCUAUACACCUGAGUACUACAGUAAUACUACU